rnacentral:rRNA from 1 species
UGAGGAAUAUUGGUCAAUGGACGCAAGUCUGAACCAGCCAAGUAGCGUGCAGGAUGACGGCCCUAUGGGUUGUAAACUGCUUUUAUAUGGGGAUAAAGUGGGGAACGUGUUCCCUUUUGCAGGUACCAUAUGAAUAAGGACCGGCUAAUUCCGUGCCAGCAGCCGCGGUAAUACGGAAGGUUCGGGCGUUAUCCGGAUUUAUUGGGUUUAAAGGGAGCGUAGGCCGUUUGGUAAGCGUGUUGUGAAAUGUAGGAGCUCAACUUCUAGAUUGCAGCGCGAACUGUCAGACUUGAGUGCGCACAACGUAGGCGGAAUUCAUGGUGUAGCGGUGAAAUGCUUAGAUAUCAUGAAGAACUCCGAUUGCGAAGGCAUCUUACGGGAGCGCAACUGACGCUGAAGCUCGAAGGUGCGGGUAUCGAACAGG